AGCCUCUGCUGUUGUGGACACCACCACCUGAGAGGGGUCCUUUCUGCCUGCCUGGACCACCACUUGGAGUUUCUGGAGCUGCUACUGGUGCUGUGGAGUCUGCUGCCUGGAGCUGCUGAAGCCCCGAGGAGGAGAAGAAGGGGACCAUCUACCAGUGGGGAGUACCUAGAGACUUUGCAGACCACCGUGGAGGGGGCCCUAAGACUGAGUAUUUUUUAGGCAGAACAUGGAUGCAGUCUACUGGUGACACCACAGAGGCAGCAAAGAAACAAAUAUCCAAGCUGUUUGACUCGGACACUCUACCAGGAAAUGGGAUUGAACUUCAGCAACACAAUCACAACUGGAACUGUAUGGCUAACUAAAUAGCUUCUUCUCUCUUCCCCAAAAGAACAGUUAUUACCAUCUUUAAUACCAUGUAAGAGACUGUUAAACAAGGAGAGGUUCUUUCUAAAGACUCUCUUCACCUAAAGGGAAGAAAGGGAACAAGGAAUGUUGUUGUUAAAAUGAAAGCCUUACUUAAUACUUUAUAUUUGAAAUGCUUAAACUCUGUUUCUAUCUUUUAUGCAUCUUUAAUAAAAGGUUUUAAAGGAUUUGUAAUAAAAAAAAAUUGUAAAAGGAUUUAAAGGAUUUGCCAUGGUACUAAACAGUCUUAGGUAUCUGUACACCAAAUCUUGUUUUAAAUUAUUUAAUGUUGGACAGUUUCAGGGUCAUGUUAACACCUCUGACUGGAACCCAUUCAUUAUUCCAUCUACAUGAAUACAACAGGGGGAAGUUGGGGUGUUGGGGGAAGUUGGGAUGGGUGCUCUGCAUGGGGAGUAUGGGAAGUCGAAGGAGCAUGGCAAGU